AGUGAACGCUGGCGGUAGGCCUAACACAUGCAAGUCGAACGGCAGCACAAGAGAGCUUGCUCUCUGGGUGGCGAGUGGCGGACGGGUGAGGAAUACAUCGGAAUCUACUCUGUCGUGGGGGAUAACGUAGGGAAACUUACGCUAAUACCGCAUACGACCUACGGGUGAAAGCAGGGGACCCUCGGGCCUUGCGCGAUUGAAUGAGCCGAUGCCGGAUUAGCUAGUUGGCGGGGUAAAGGCCCACCAAGGCGACGCUCCGUAGCUGGUCUGAGAGGAGUAUCAGACACACUGGAACUGAGACACGGUCCAGACUCCUACGGGAGGCAGCAGUGGGGCAUAUUGGACCAUGGGCGCAAGCCUGAUCCAGCCAUACCGCGUGGGUGAAGAAGGCCUUCGGGUUGUAAAGCCCUUUUGUUGGGAAAGAAAUCCAGCUGGCUAAUACCCGGUUGGGAUGACGGUACCCAAAGAAUAAGCACCGGCUAACUUCGUGCCAGCCGCCGCCGUAA
rnacentral:rRNA from 1 species